GUGGGGAAUAUUGGACAAUGGGCGAAAGCCUGAUCCAGCCAUGCCGCGUGUGUGAAGAAGGUCUUCGGAUUGUAAAGCACUUUAAGUUGGGAGGAAGGGCAGUAAGUUAAUACCUUGCUGUUUUGACGUUACCAACAGAAUAAGCACCGGCUAACUUCGUGCCAGCAGCCGCGGUAAUACGAAGGGUGCAAGCGUUAAUCGGAAUUACUGGGCGUAAAGCGCGCGUAGGUGGUUCAGCAAGUUGAAGGUGAAAUCCCCGGGCUCAACCUGGGAACUGCCUCCAAAACUACGUAGCUAGAGUACGGUAGAGGGUAGUGGAAUUUCCUGUGUAGCGGUGAAAUGCGUAGAUAUAGGAAGGAACACCAGUGGCGAAGGCGACUACCUGGACUGAUACUGACACUGAGGUGCGAAAGCGUGGGGAGCAAACAGGAUUAGAUACCCGAGUAGUCC
rnacentral:rRNA from 1 species